AUUGAACGCUGGCGGCAGGCCUAACACAUGCAAGUCGAACGAGUGGCGGACGGGUGAGCAAUGGCUGGGCACCUGCCUGACGUAGGGGUAUAACGACUGGAAACCGUAGCUAAUACCGCAUACCAUCGGAUGUGCCGUGGUGGGAUUAUCUAGUCGGUGGGGUAACGGCUCACCUAGGCGACGAUCCCUAGCUGGUCUGAGAGGAUGAGCAGCCACACUGGAACUGAGACACGGUCCAGACUCCUACGGGAGGCAGCAGUGGGGAAUAUUGCACAAUGGGCGCAAGCCUGAUGCAGCCAUGCCGCGUGUAUGAAGAAGGCCUUCGGGUUGUAAAGUACUUUCAGCGGGGAGGCGUUACCCGCAGAAGAAGCACCGGCUAACUCCGUGCCAGCAGCCGCGGUAAUUC
rnacentral:rRNA from 1 species